AUGCUGCAGUUUCCUAUUCCUCCAAUCUGCAAGAUCAUGGCAGAGUCACUGCUUCUCCCUCUAGUGCGUGGUGUGGCCGGCAAGGCUGCAGACGCACUUGUUGAGACCGUGACCCACAUGUGUGGCCUCGACGACGACCGCCGAACGCUGGAGCGCCAUCUGCUAGCCGUUGAGUGCAAGCUGGCGAAUGCUGAGGAGAUGAGUGAGACAAACGGAUAUGUCAAGAGCUGGAUGAAGGAGUUCAAGUCUGUCGCCUACGAGGCCGACGACGUGCUUGACGACUUCCAGUAUGAGGCGCUGCGCCGCCAGUCUAAGAUUGGCAAGUCCACUACCCACAAGGUACUUGGCUACAUCACGCGCCAAAGCCCGUUGCUCUUCCGUUUUGAAAUGAGCAGGAAACUCAAGAACGUCCUCGAGAAGAUCAAUAAGUUGGUUGAGGAGAUGAACAAGUUUGGACUGGAGAAUUCUGUCCAUAGGGGGAAGCGACAAAAUCCUUGCCGGCAGACACACUCAAAACUGGAUGACUGUACCAAAAUAUUUGGAAGAGAUGAUGAUAAGACGGUGGUGGUGAAGCAACUGCUGGGCCUGCAAGAUCAGCAAAAGGUGCAGGUGUUGCCCAUCUUUGGGAUGGGUGGUCUUGGCAAGACGACUCUUGCUAAGAUGGUGUACAAUGAACGAGAGGUCCACGAACAUUUUCAGUUGAAGAUGUGGCACUGUGUGUCAGUAAAUUUUGAUAUUAUUGACCUUGUGAAAGCCAUAGCUGAAUUGGCCACAAAUGGAAGUUCUGCCAUGCUUGGCAGCAUCGAACUAUUGCAGAAGAAACUUGAUGAAGUCAUUGGCCAGAAAAGGUUUUUACUUGUUCUUGAUGAUGUAUGGAAUGAAGAUAAGAGGAUAUGGGAGGAUGAGUUGAAGCCACUAUUGUGUUCUGUUGGUGGACCAGGAAGUGUUAUAGUGGUUACAUGUCGAAGUAAACAAGUGGCCUCUAUAAUGUGCACUGUCAAGCCACACGAGCUAGCAUUUUUGAGUGAAGAAGGCUCAUGGGAAUUGUUUUCAAACAGAGCAUUUAGCAAUGGUGUAGAUGAGCAACCAGAGUUAGUCACCAUCGGAAGGCGUAUUGUGAAUAAAUGUGGGGGGUUGCCUCUUGCUCUCAAGACAAUGGGCGGAUUGCUGAGUUCAAAGCAAAAAGUACAGGAGUGGAAGGCCAUCGAAGAAAGUAACAUCGGGGAUAAUGAUGGAGGAAAAUAUGAGGUCAUGCCCAUACUGAAGUUAAGCUACAAAUACCUAUCAUCUGAAAUGAAGCAAUGUUUUGCAUUCUGUGCAGUCUUUCCCAAGGAUUAUGAGAUGGAGAAGGAUAGGUUGAUCCAACUAUGGAUGGCAAAUGGUUUUAUUCAAGAAGAGGGAAUAAUGGAUUUAGUACAGAAAGGAGAAUUCAUUUUUGAUGAGUUGGUUUGGAGGUCCUUCCUCCAAGAUAAGAAAGUGGCGAUCAAAUCUGCAAUCUAUCAUGGUGACACACAAUAUAAGACAUUUGUAUGUAAAAUGCAUGACCUAAUGCAUGAUCUAGCAAAAAAUGUCACGGAUGAGUGUGCAAGUAUAGAAGAAUUGUCUCAGCAGAAAGCAUUGUUAAAAGGUGUUUGUCACAUGAAAACAUCAAAGGCUGAAUUCGAACGAAUCAAUGGGUUAUGCAAAGGCAGAAAACUCCGCACUUUGUUAGCUCCUUCAGAAUCAUGGAAGGAUUAUAAUUAUAAUUUUCCGAGCAAAUCACACAAGGAUAUUAAGGAGUUGCAACAGGUUGCCAGAUUCAAUAUGUAUGUUGUAUAA
rnacentral:rRNA from 1 species